UCGAUGGGGGCGUUUUGCACAGACACCUUCCCCCUGGCGCUCGGCGCCGCGGCCCCUCCUGCCUCGGAGACUCUCUUCCUUCCUUCCCCUUUUUCCUUACGCAAUAUACAGAAAUGCGCGAGGCGGUGGUUGGUUCUCAUUUCUUCUUGGUGGUUGUGUGCACGCGGUGCGAUUGUGAGAGCGCGUGUGUGAGCCGUGGGCAAGGCGGCUGCCCCAGUGUGAUGUUUUUUGGCGAUUGGUUGCGUGUCCGAGUGUGCUGGUGCCUGCACCGUUUGGGUGUGUAGCUUUGGACCCCGCGAGGCCCUGCUGCGUUUUAGUCGAUGUGUGUCAUCCUGCUUGUCUCUUUUUUCAACAGGAGCCGGGUUCCGCGCUGGGCUCUGACCGUGCGUGGACGGUGGCGUUGUUCUGGCGGCGCGUGUGAGCCUGGCCGUGCCGAGCUGUGUGUCCGUGGGCGACUGCGCUGGCCACUUUCGUUGUGUGCCGGACAGCGAGGGUCUGCCGACCAUGUCUGCGUGUGGAGCGGGGCUGCGUUGUGCUCGUGCGCGGCCCUCCUGUGUGGUCCCGUCCACCCCGAGUUGUGUGCCAGUGUGCUUGUGUCCUUUAGAGAUCGUCCAGGACCACACCGCCGCCUGACUAACUGCUGGCCUCUCUGCGAGAGGGGCUCGGAGAGCAGAGACCCCAGUUUAAUCUCACCCCUCCCUGUCGGAAGAGUGGAGGUCCUAUUCCAAGGGGCCAGUCUCUCUAACUAUGCCCGAGGGCCCUUUCCUUUUUCCGGCCUCCGGUGAAACCAGCUGGCUGGACUACGGUUGGUCCUCCUGGCCGCUCCCAUCGGUCGGGAUCUGCCUACGUUGCUCAAGGACGGGAACUUUGUGGUAGCUGUAUCCGGGUAGUGCACGCUGUGCUUGGAGUUCAGCAGGAAGAAGGCCGAGGUCAUCUGGGCCAGCACAAAGCUCUUGCUAGGGUGGGCCUGACCCGCGCUGGAACUCCCCGCAGGGAUAGUACACAGAUCACUGGAGGUUGCUUUGGUGCAAUUUUGGGACUUCCUCAGGGUGUCCUAAGUGUGUGUGGGAGGGGGGCGCGGGGGUGAUGAAAGGAACUCAAGGCCAGCUCUAAAAUUACCUGGCCCCAGGAACACACUCCCUGAUCUCCUUAAUCACACGCUGGAACGGUCAGGCCCACUGACAACGGAAAUGUUGAGGGCAGGAGGCAGGGUCUCUGUGGCACAAAGGAAUAACAAUGGUCUAAAUAUUCUAGUCUCAGGCCAUUCAAUCGUGAAUCUCCCCCCUUCUCCAUCCUCCUCCAAUUAAAACAAAUACAGCAGAUAAAAACUACUCAGCCUUUCCUUUCAGGAAACUUAACUGAAAUCAAAAGAUGCAAUUUAGUCUCUUGACAACCACAGGUGCUUUUGAGUACUCUGGUGGCUUCCUUUUGGUGUGGACCUCUGGCCAGGUCCAUCUUAGGCUCAAAAGAGUGAGCUGGAUUUUCCUCAUGUGGGAAGGGAGAAAUCUGCCAUAGUGCCCACCAGGGCCAAUCUGUAUUUCUCACCAGGAACCUUGAGGUCAGGAUAUUUACAGGCAUCUGGAGAGGCCAUUUUGGGGUUAGUUCAUCAGGAGUAUGUGCUCUGUUUGCCCCUUGGGAAUCUGCCUCUACUACUGGUGUGGAAUUAAUCAGAAGGUAUAAAUGUGUCAUGUGAAGACUGAGUCAAGUUGGGAUUGCAGUGCACAUUUGUUGUCACUCAGAACCAUAGGCUGAGGUACCUAACCUUGGUUGAGAAGUGGGGAGCCAGCACCUCCCUUUUAUAUUUCAUCUAAGCCUGGUAUAUUUCUGGUAUAUUUCAACAGCUGAAGAGAAACUAAGAUUGCUGGUAUAUUUCCCAUUCCUUUCCAGUGGCCUGGGUGUCUUGCUUGUGGUAUUCUGUGAAUUCAGACAUUUUGUCUCCACUAUAAUCGUAAACUUGCUUUCAAUGAGGCAUCCUGGACCCACUGUUUUUGCAGCUUAGUUACACCAGUUUUAAGAAUUUGUCAUUUCCAGGUGCUGUGGGGGCUGUAGGACCCAUUACAGUGUAUCUGAAUCUCUGUUCUUCACAUGCUGCUGCAUGUGGUGGCAGUGGAGCUGAGUUCUAUAGGAGGUAGAGGAGCCUGUUCUCCCUUCUGGGGUGAAAGGCUUGGUUCUGAGAUGGACUCUGGUCAAGAGCAUUGCAGUGGUAGAAUGGGAACCUGAGGGCUGAGAUGAACUGGUUAGAUAGACUUACCUUCAAGCUUAAUUGCACUUUUGUGAAUCUCUUCCACUUUAAAAUACUCUAUAGAAUUCUGAGAGUAGAAUCCUUGUUAGUAAUAAUUUAUGAAGCCUGUUGAAUUGAUCAUAGCUUUAUUUUAUUAAAACAGCUCAUAGUCUUCCUCAAACUCUAAAUCGUAAGUCUCAUGACUUUUCUCUUUUGGGUGUUUUUUUGAGGGUGUCUCUAUGUGGAUCAGGCCAGGUGGUAGGGAAACCUACCUGGCCUGGAAUUAAUCCAGUUGAAUCCAGGGGAUCUAAUAUGGUUGUGAGGGGAAGGAGGGCUCCACUAUAAAUAUGAGACUAUUAAAGUGAGGUCAGAGUUCAAUCAACCAAGGUUUGUGUGUGUGUGUGUGGGGGGGGGAGGUGCUGGGGAUUCUGAUUUUGGAAGAGAGGCCAGACCCCAUGCCCUCAGAAGCACUCUGAAAGUCUGGAUUCCAUACUGCCUGGACCAGGCCUUUCUUGGAAACCUAGCCUUACUUCGGAGUCCUGCCUGGAGAGUCAAGGUGCCAGUGCCAGGAUCAGCGUCUUCCCUUGGUAAUCUCUCUUCUCUCUUGUAAGAAGUAAACCAGCAGUGCACAGAAUAAACACAAGGUGGAUGUACUUAGCAGUUGGUCUUGAGCACCGGUGAAUUUUGUGUGUACGCGGCGGGAGGAGCAGGUUCCUCUGGAUGAUUUUCUGCCAGCCCUGGCUGAGUGGACCCAAGUCCCUGUAGUUCGUACUCCUUGCUUCCACCUCCACCAGCUUUCUGCGUGAUGUGUGGGGGGUGUCCCCACGCGGCACAGUGUGCGGGGUGUCGCCGUGCUGUGAAAGGCGGUCGGACACCACCCACCCCACCCCUUUCUGACAGAUUCCCCGCCAAAAGCCGGAGCGGGAGGGUGGGGGCGGGAAGAGCCGGUCCGGGGUUGAUCCCUCCUCUUCCCUUGUGGCCGAGGGGGUCGGGGUAACUUUCUCUCUCCUCUUUGCAUUUCCUUCCUCCUUUUAUUCUCUUAGGUUUUUCUUUCGCUGGCCCUAUUCCUUUUCUUCCGAUGCUUCUGCCAUCUUUCUCUAUUUCUGUCCUCUCGGCGCCCGGUCCCUGUGUCCCCGAGGCACCCCGCCCUCUCCCCUGCCCUGGGGGACCCCCUCCGGCCCCGGCGGGGAGGCAGCCGACCUUCAGGCCCGGAGGCCGGGGGCGCUGUCCAC
ensembl:lincRNA